rnacentral:rRNA from 1 species
GUCUUUUUGAAUUUUAUUUAAAGUCUGACCUGCCCCCUGAGGAGUUUAAAGGCUGCAGUAUCCUGACUGUACAAAGGUAGCAUAAUCAUUAGUCUCUUAAUUAGAGGCUUGUAUGAAUGGUUUGACGAGGGAACAACUGUCUCAAUUUAAUUUUUUUGGAAAUUUAUUUUUAAGUUAGAAAGCUUAAAUUGUUUUAAAAGACGAGAAGACCCUAUAGAGUUUUAUAAAUUGCUUUAGUUAAUACUUUUUAGUAUAUUUGGGGUUAAUUAUUUCAUUUUAUUUUGUUGGGGUGAUAGAAAAAUUAAAUAAACUUUUUUUAUUUAAAACAAAAAUAUUUGAUUAUAUGAUCCGCUUAGGCGAUUAAAAGAUUAAAUUACCUUAGGGAUAACAGCGUAAUUUUUUUUGAGAGUUCUUAUUAAAAAAAAAGUUUGCGACCUCGAUGUUGGAUUAAAAUUGAUAUUUGGCGUAGAAGCUAAAUCAUUAGGUCUGUUCGACCUUUAAAAUUUUACGUGAUCUGAAUCCACACCGGAA